rnacentral:rRNA from 1 species
AACGAACGCUGGCGGCAGGCUUAACACAUGCAAGUCGAACGCUCGUAGCAAUACGGGAGUGGCGGACGGGUGAGUAACGCGUGGGAACGUGCCCUGAGGUACGGAAUAACUGCGGGAAACUGCAGCUAAUACCGUAUGAGCCCCGUGAGGGGGAAAGAUUUAUCGCCUUAGGGAGCGGCCCGCGUCGGAUUAGCUAGUUGGUGGGGUAACGGCUUACCAAGGCUUCGAUCCGUAGCUGGUCUGAGAGGACGAUCAGCCACACUGGGACUGAGACACGGCCCAGACUCCUACGGGAGGCAGCAGUGGGGAAUCUUGCGCAAUGGGGGCAACCCUGACGCAGCCAUGCCGCGUGAAUGAUGAAGGCCUUAGGGUUGUAAAGUUCUUUUGCCCGUGACGAUGAUGACGGUAACGGGAGAAUAAGCUCCGGCUAACUUCGUGCCAGCAGCCGCG